rnacentral:rRNA from 1 species
GACGAACGCUGGCGGCGUGCCUAACACAUGCAAGUCGGACGCUGUUGCGAACGGGAGAGUAACGCGUAGGCAACUUUCUAUUAAAGGGGGAUAACUAUUGGAAAUGAUAGCUAAUACCGCAUCCAGGUAGAUGUACCUGCGUUGUAUUAGCUAGUAGGUAGGGUAAUGGCCUACCUAGGCAACGAUACAUAGCCAGCCUUGGAGGGUGAUCGGCCACACGGGGACUGAGACACGGCCCAGACUCCUUCUGGAGGCAGGAGUAGGGAAUCUUCGGCAAUGGGGGGAACCCUUACCGAGCAACGCCGCGUGAGUGAAGAAGGUUUUCGGAUCGGAAAGCUCUGUUGGUAAGGAAGCGGUACUUAACCAGAAAGGAACGGCUAACUACGUGCCAGCAGCCGCGGUAAUUC